AAUCGUACCCCAAACCGACACAGGUGGUCAGGUAGAGAAUACCAAGGCGCUUGAGAGAACUCGGGUGAAGGAACUAGGCAAAAUGGUGCCGUAACUUCGGGAGAAGGCACGCUGGCAUGUAGGUGAAGUCCCUUGCGGAUGGAGCUGAAGCCAGUCGAAGAUACCAGCUGGCUGCAACUGUUUAAUAAAAACACAGCACUGUGCAAACACGAAAGUGGACGUAUACGGUGUGACGCCUGCCCGGUGCUGGAAGGUUAAUUGAUGGGGUCAGCCGCAAGGCGAAGCUCUUGAUCGAAGCCCCAGUAAACGGCGGCCGUAACUAUAACGGUCCUAAGGUAGCGAAAUUCCUUGUCGGGUAAGUUCCGACCUGCACGAAUGGCGUAAUGAUGGCCAGGCUGUCUCCACCCGAGACUCAGUGAAAUUGAACUCGCUGUGAAGAUGCAGUGUACCCGCGGCAAGACGGAAAGACCCCGUGAACCUUUACUAUAGCUUGACACUGAACAUUGAGCCUUGAUGUGUAGGAUAGGUGGGAGGCUUUGAAGCGUGGACGCCAGUCUGCGUGGAGCCAUCCUUGAAAUACCACCCUUUAAUGUUUGAUGUUCUAACUCGGCCCCAUAAUCUGGGGUGAGGACAGUGUCUGGUGGGUAGUUUGACUGGGGCGGUCUCCUCCCAAAGAGUAACGGAGGAGCACGAAGGUUAGCUAAUCACGGUCGGACAUCGUGAGGUUAGUGCAAAGGCAUAAGCUAGCUUGACUGCGAGAGUGACGGCUCGAGCAGGUACGAAAGUAGGUCUUAGUGAUCCGGUGGUUCUGAAUGGAAGGGCCAUCGCUCAACGGAUAAAAGGUACUCCGGGGAUAACAGGCUGAUACCGCCCAAGAGUUCAUAUCGACGGCGGUGUUUGGCACCUCGAUGUCGGCUCAUCACAUCCUGGGGCUGAAGUAGGUCCCAAGGGUAUGGCUGUUCGCCAUUUAAAGUGGUACGCGAGCUGGGUUUAGAACGUCGUGAGACAGUUCGGUCCCUAUCUGCCGUGGGCGUUGGAAGAUUGAGAGGGGUUGCUCCUAGUACGAGAGGACCGGAGUGAACGCACCACUGGUGUUCGGGUUGUCAUGCCAAUGGCAUUGCCCGGUAGCUAAGUGCGGAAAAGAUAAGCGCUGAAAGCAUCUAAGCGCGAAACUUGCCUCAAGAUGAGUCUUCCCUGGGCCUUUAAGG
rnacentral:rRNA from 2 species